UACGUAGGGGGCAAGCGUUGUCCGGAAUCAUUGGGCGUAAAGAGCUCGUAGGCGGCUCAGUAAGUCGGGUGUGAAACCUCCAGGCUCAACCUGGAGACGCCACCUGAUACUGCUAUGGCUAGAGUCCGGUAGGGGAGCGUGGAAUUCCUGGUGUAGCGGUGAAAUGCGCAGAUAUCAGGAGGAACACCAGCGGCGAAGGCGGCGCUCUGGGCCGGAACUGACGCUGAGGAGCGAAAGCGUGGGUAGCAAACAGG
rnacentral:rRNA from 1 species